AGCAGGGCGUCAGUGGCGAACGGGUUAGUAACACGUAGCUUACCAACCCCGAAGUGGGGCAUAGCUGAUCGAAAGAUCAGGUAAUUCCCCAUAGUCCCCGAGAGCAAUCGAGGGGUAAAGCCGAAAGGCGCUUCGGGAUGGGUCUGCGGCCUAUCAGCUAGUUGGUAGGGUAACGGCCUACCAAGGCUAUGACGGGUAGGGGAAGUGAGAGCUUGUUCCCCAACAAUGGCACUGAGACAUGGGCUAUACUCCUACGGGAGGCAGCAGUCGAGAAUAUUGGUCAAUGGGGGAAACCCUGAACCAGCGACGCCGCGUGUUUGAAGAAGCCCUUCGGGGUGUAAAAAACUUUUCUGGAGGAGAAACCUUCGGGUGAUAGUACUCCAGGAAUAAGGGGGUGCAAAUUCUGUGCCAGCAGCCGCGGUAAUACAGAACCCCCAAGCGUUAUCCGGAUUUAUUGGGCGUGAAGGGUCCGUAGGCGGCCCGCCAAGUUUUCCGUUAAAUUUCCAGGGCUCAACCUUGGAACGGCGGAAAAAACUGGCGGGAUAGAGGACGUCAGAGGCUGAUGGAACGCUCGGUGUAGUGGUGAAAUCCGUUGAUAUCGAGCGGAACACCAAAAGCGAAGGCAUUCAGCUGGGGCGAUCCUGACGCUGAGGGACGAAAGCGUGGGGAGCAAAAAGGAUUAGAUACCCUUGUAGUCCACGCCCUAAACGAUGGACACUGGCUGCCUGUAGUGUCGACCCUACAGGUGGCGAAGCUUACGCGUUAAGUGUCCCGCCUGGGAAGUACGGCCGCAAGGCUAAAACUCAAAGGAAUAGACGGGGGCUCACACAAGCGGUGGACCAUGUGGCUUAAUUCGACGAUAAACGAGGAACCUUACCAGGGCUUGACAAGCUAACGAAACCCUUCCGAAAGGUUGGGCUACCCACAAGGACGUUAGCCCAGGUGCUGCAUGGUUGUCGUCAGCAGGUGUCAUGAGACGCUCCCUUAAAUGGGGAAACCUGCGCAACCCUUGCCCUAUGUUUUAUCUGUCAUAGGGGACUGCCGUAGACAGUACGGAGGAAGGCGAGGAUGACGCCAAAUCAGCAUGGCCCUUUGAUGCUCUGGGCUGCACACGUGGUACAAUGGGACCGACAAUGGGUUGCAAAGUCGAAAGGCGAAGCUAAUCCCAUCAAACGGUCUCUCAGUUCGGAUUGAGGUCUGCAACUCGACCUCAUGAAGCUGGGAUCGCUAGUAAUCGCCAAUCAGCUAUGUGGCGAUGAAUACGUUCCUGAGCCUUGUACUCACCGCCCGUCACGCCAAGCGAGCUGGGAACAGCCGAAGUGCCCCUUUUUGGGGAACUACGCUGGGUUCAGUAAGAGAGGCGAAGUCGUAACAAGGCA
rnacentral:rRNA from 1 species